AGCGAACGCUGGCGGCAGGCCUAACACAUGCAAGUCGAGCGCCCCGCAAGGGGAGCGGCAGACGGGUGAGUAACACGUGGGAACGUGCCCUUCGGUUCGGAAUAGCCCGGGGAAACUCGGAGUAAUACCGGAUACGUCCGCAAGGAGAAAGAUUUAUCGCCGAAGGAGCGGCCCGCGUCUGAUUAGCUUGUUGGUGAGGUAACGGCUCACCAAGGCUACGAUCAGUAGCUGGUCUGAGAGGAUGAUCAGCCACACUGGGACUGAGACACGGCCCAGACUCCUACGGGAGGCAGCAGUGGGGAAUAUUGGACAAUGGGCGCAAGCCUGAUCCAGCCAUGCCGCGUGAGUGAUGAAGGCCCUAGGGUUGUAAAGCACUUUCGGCGGGGAAGAUAAUGACGGUACCCGCAGAAGAAGCCCCGGCCAACUUCGUGCCAGCCGCCGCGGUAACAC
rnacentral:rRNA from 1 species